GGCGGCGAAUUGUAGCUUCGUUUACGGGAAAAAGGUCUCCGCUACCA
rnacentral:tRNA from 1 species